UACCACUAUUAAACUUAUUAACUACGUUAUUUAAGA
rnacentral:sRNA from 1 species